rnacentral:rRNA from 1 species
AGAUAAUAGAUACCCAGGUAGUCCACGCCCUAAACGAUGUCGACUGGUUGUUGGGGGUUUGACACUCUCAGUAAACGAAAGCUAAACGCGUGAAGUCGACCGCCUGGGGAGUACGGCCGCAAGGUUAAAACUCAAAGGAAUUGACGGGGACCCGCACAAGCGGUGGAUUAUGUGGAUUAAUUCGAUGCAACGCGAAAAACCUUACCUACCCUUGACAUGUCCGGAAGGCUGCUGAAAGGCGGCUGUGCCCGAAAGGGAACUGGAACACAGGUGCUGCAUGGCUGUCGUCAGCUCGUGUCGUGAGAUGUUGGGUUAAGUCCCGCAACGAGCGCAACCCUUGUCAUUAGUUGCUACCCGCAAGGGAGCACUCUAAUGAGACUGCCGGUGACAAACCGGAGGAAGGUGGGGAUGACGUCAAGUCCUCAUGGCCCUUAUGGGUAGGGCUUCACACGUAAUACAAUGGCGCGUACAGAGGGUUGCCAAGGAGCGAUCUGGAGCCAAUCCCGUAAAGCGCGUCGUAGUCCGGAUUGCAGUCUGCAACUCG